UGGUAGGGAUGAUUAUUGGGCUUAAAGCGUCCGUAGCCGGCUCAGCAAGUCCCCUGUUAAAUCCAACGACCCAAUCGCUGGACUGCAGGAGAUACUGCUGGGCUAGGGGACGGGAGAGGCCGACGGUAUUUCCGGGGGAGGGGUGAAAUCCUAUAAUCCCGGGAGGACCACCAGUGGCGAAG
rnacentral:rRNA from 1 species